rnacentral:rRNA from 1 species
GAUUUCUGGCUUGGUGCGCCUGGCCCGCCACGGUUACGUGUGUGAGUGCCGGGUCGCGCCUGCCAUCCUUCUAGAGAACGUCUCUACCCUUCACUGGGCUGGAGGCGCUAUCUAGAUCCUUUACUUUGAAAAAAUUAGAGUGUUUAAAGCAGGCUAUUGCUAUGAAUACAUUAGCAUGGAAUAAUAAUUUAGGACUUUGGUUCUAUUUUGUUGGUUUCUAGGGCUGAAGUAAUGAUUGAUAGGGAUAGUUGGGGGUGCUAGUAUUCAGCGGCCAGAGGUGAAAUUCUUGGAUUCGCUGAAGACUAACUUAUGCGAAAGCAUU